GUUUGUUUGUUAAUGCAUUUUCGCGCAUAUGUUUAGUCGACCAGGCAAAGCCAAGAUUUCCUGAAGAUGCCUUUAGAUUAAAGGCGAAAUAUCGACAGUAAUAAACAAAAAGGAAUAUAAGACAUCCAAUAGUUUUAUUUACCCUAGGCU